rnacentral:rRNA from 1 species
UGAGGGAAUAUUUGGGUCAAUGGGCGGAAGCCUGAACCAGCCAAGUAGCGUGAGGGAUGACUGCCCUAUGGGUUGUAAACCUCUUUUAUAAGGGAAUAAAAUACGGGACGUGUCCUGUUUUGCAUGUACCUUAUGAAUAAGGACCGGCUAAUUCCGUGCCAGCAGCCGCGGUAAUACGGAAGGUCCGGGCGUUAUCCGGAUUUAUUGGGUUUAAAGGGAGCGUAGGCCGGAGAUUAAGCGUGUUGUGAAAUGUAGUGGCUCAACCUCUGCACUGCAGCGCGAACUGGUCUUCUUGAGUACGCACAACGUGGGCGGAAUUCGUGGUGUAGCGGUGAAAUGCUUAGAUAUCACGAAGAACUCCGAUUGC